CCUACGGGGUGCAGCAGUGGGGAAUAUUGGACAAUGGGCGAAAGCCUGAUCCAGCCAUGCCGCGUGUGUGAAGAAGGCCUUCGGGUUGUAAAGCACUUUCAGUGGGGAAGAAAGCCUUGGGGCUAAUACCCUCGAGGAAGGACAUCACCCACAGAAGAAGCACCGGCUAACUCCGUGCCAGCAGCCGCGGUAAUACGGAGGGUGCGAGCGUUAAUCGGAAUUACUGGGCGUAAAGCGCGCGUAGGCGGUCUGAUAAGCCGGUUGUGAAAGCCCCGGGCUCAACCUGGGAACGGCAUCCGGAACUGUCAGGCUAGAGUGCAGGAGAGGAAGGUAGAAUUCCCGGUGUAGCGGUGAAAUGCAUAGAGAUCGGGAGGAAUACCAGUGGCGAAGGCGGCCUUCUGGACUGACACUGACGCUGAGGUGCGAAAGCGUGGGUAGCAAACAGGAUUAGAUACCCUGGUAGUC
rnacentral:rRNA from 1 species